GGGACGACAGCGCGAUCGCACCUCUGUCACAGCGUAGCUACGGAGUACAGCGGCAAGACGUAAAUCUACCUCGACCGUCUUUGGACGUUUUUUCGAGACCCGGAACUAAUUAUAAAAAGAGGCAGUCAAUCUACAGGUCGGCGCUGUAACCGGGACAGGUUCAUUGAGGCGGCUAUCAUUCUUCGGCGGCCCACGGCACUAAAGUGUUUCGUGUUAAUCUCGACGAGAAGGAGACAACUCUGUAUCAACACUGUAGCGGCUUUUAAUUGAACAGACAAGAAAGGAACAAUGGGUUGUCAAGGAUCAAAGUCUACGCAAGCUUCAGCAGGAGGAGCUCAGGGCGGAGAGCCAAGUGAACCCACUCAACAAGAGCAGGCAGCACCCGCAGGGGACGCCACUGAACAGAGGGAUCAGAUGUUUGAGCUUUUGUUCGGCUCUAUCGAGUUGGGAAGAGUCAGGGAUUCUCCUAUAUGAGAACUGAAGCCAGUGAUCUCAUUCUGUACAAAGCACAUGUGAUAUGUAUAAAAUUGACAUUGAUUCUAGUAUAUUAUUAUAAAUCUGCCAACAAUACUACAAGGUCUUCACUUUCUGUACAACUCCCACAUUGAACUCAUUGAAUCCUUAAUAUAUGAACAAGUUACUACUUCAAAAUUUAGAAAAAUAAGUCUUUUUAUUGUGACAUUUUUUUUUCUUUUUUUUUUAUUUUUAGUUGGGGGGGUGAAAACUUCUUUAAAAACAAUAGCAAUAGAACCAUCCAUUUUAUUUAUUAGUAUUUAUUAAAGUUAUUCAUGUAUUUUAUUUUUUUAAUUAUAAUUUUAUCAUAAAAAUUUAUGUCAGUAUUACCAACAUAUGCAAAUUUUUGUGACUUCAAAAAUAAGGCAAUAAAAUAAUUAAAAGAGUUA